ensembl:lncRNA
UGAAAGACAACAAAGAGAUUUUAUUUAGAAAUUCACAGUUUCUAAUGGCACUACAUCGUUGUAGUUACAGUUGCUCCUGUUCCACAAUACUGUGCAGCUUGCUCCCUCUCAGCAAUUCGGUGUAUUUAUCAUGCCCCCUGCUGGCAUACAAUGAGCUUACGUCCAACAGGGGGCGCCACACAGGGAGAAAACCUUGGAAAGAAAAGCACUUGACGUACAAGGUAGUGUAGAAAAACAAACCAAACAAAAAAAGGCAUAAAGAGUACUUUAAAAGUGCACACUGGGCCCCCUGUCCAACCGAUGUGGGGCAAAUGUCUAUUCGUUCAGGUUAGGGGACAGGUGAUGUUCCAUGUGAUCGGCUCACUCACUCACAUACAUACAAACUGAGAAAAAGGAAACAAAUACAAGACACACGCACACGGUCAGUCUUACAUGCACAUUAACACCAAGUAGUUCAAACAUACUCAGUCGACACACUCAGAAAAGAAGUAUCACAACUGAAGAACAAGUUAAAAGUCCCCUCUGACUGUGGAAAUGCUCUCAUUCGCUCACAAAGGGGUACAUUCACAUCCUAUUCAUAUCUUUCCCUUUUAUCAGUAUACACGGGAAUUAUUAAUCUACGUUCUUUAUAUGAGAGGGUACCAUGAGCUUCAAAGAAAUGGGGGGGGGGGGGUGCGCAACUAGUACUGAAUCACAUGAUUGACAGCUCCAGCAUGAUCAAUGUCUUCUGCAGGGAAUCAGUGGUCAAAAUGGUUGUAUUCACAGUAAAAAAAAUCAACAGCCUUGUUUCGAAAAUGUGUUCUUGAGGGAAAUACGUUCACACACAUGUAGAUGAAAUGGGUUGAUAUCUGGAGUGCAUGAAAGGUUAAGAGUUUGCUGCAGAUAGGUAGGUGGGUUAGUCUGUGUUAGCGUUGCAGGGAAGUGAACGAGUGGAGAACACCUAGACGGUUGAAGAAAAAAAAAAGUAAAGAGAAAAGAAAAAGAAAGGGGUGCCCCAGUCCCGAUGCGUAGAGCUACUCAGAACAGUACCCAGAGACAGGAAAUGAAGAUAAACUAGCACUUAUUACAACGGCCCUCCAACUCCUCUCGCUCUCCGUAGGGCUUAAAGGGUCAGACCUCUUAAAAUCAAUGUCUGAGGUCUACCUGAUAUGAGCGAACACGUCACAAAGAAAAUAACUAUUCAUGAUUUCAUAGAAACAAGCAGCAGCGCUUUUUUGAUUUCAGCCAUGACCACAGAAUCCAACUCUUUCAGUACAAUGGAAGAAAAUAUAAAUACAAAUAAAUAGGUGGAACGACGUGUGAGAACGUGACACUGUAAACUAUGUGGUGUGUGUGUGUGUGUGUGUGUGUGUGUGUACAUUGACUUUGUAUGUUUGAGAGUACCAAAGAACUGAGUGUAUGAGGCAAGUGUGUAAACUUCAUAGACACUGCAGGGGAUGCGGCACUCUGCUUAGCCAAGACCUUUCAGAUCACCAAGCACAGGCAGGUCAAGACACAUUUAAAUAAAUAAAUAGAUAAAUAAAAGAGCUAGCCGAGUAUCCCCUGCAGGGUGUGUUAGCAAGUGUGUGUGUGUGUGUGUGUGUGUGUG